UACGGGGGGGGCAAGCGUUGUUCGGAAUUACUGGGCGUAAAGGGCUCGUAGGUGGCCAACUAAGUCGGACGUGAAAUCCCUCGGCUUAACCGGGGAACUGCGUCCGAUACUGGAUGGCUUGAGUGUGGGAGAGGGAUGCGGAAUUCCAGGUGUAGCGAUGAAAUGCGUAGAUAUCUGGAGGAACACCGGUGGCGAAGGCGGCAUCCUGGACUACUACUGACGCUGAGGAGCGAAAGCCAGGGGAGCAAACGGG
rnacentral:rRNA from 1 species